UUUAAGGUUUUUUUAAAAACUACACAAAGUUCUUGAUGAAAUCCAG
rfam:Chlorocebus sabaeus isolate 1994-021 chromosome 15, whole genome shotgun sequence.